rnacentral:rRNA from 1 species
AGAGUUUGAUCAUGGCUCCGGAUGAACGCUAGCGGGAGGCUUAACACAUGCAAGUCGAGGGGUAACGAUAUCUUCGGAUAGUCGACGACCGGCGCACGGGUGAGUAACAGGUAUGCAACCUACCCUUAACAGGAGGAUAGCCCGAAGAAAUUCGGAUUAAUACUCCAUAACAUUUGUAAAUCGCAUGAUUUACUUUUUAAAGCUCCGGCGGUUAAGGAUGGGCAUGCUUAAUAUUAGCUAGUUGGUAAGGUAACGGCUUACCAAGGCUACGAUAUUUAGGGGUUCUGAGAGGACGAUCCCCCACACUGGUACUGAGACACGGACCAGACUCCUACGGGAGGCAGCAGUGAGGAAUAUUGGUCAAUGGGCGCAAGCCUGAACCAGCCAUCCCGCGUGUAGGAUGACGGCCUUAUGGGUUGUAAACUACUUUUAUAUAGGAAGAAACUUUUCUACGUGUAGAAAACUGACUGUACUAUACGAAUAAGCAUCGGCUAACUCCGUGCCAGCAGCCGCGGUAAUACGGAGGAUGCAAGCGUUAUCCGGAUUUAUUGGGUUUAAAGGGUGUGUAGGCGGAUUAAUAAGUCAGUGGUGAAAUCCUACAGCUUAACUGUAGAACUGCCAUUGAUACUGUUAACCUUGAGUAUAGUUGAGGUAGGCGGAAUGUGUUGUGUAGCGGUGAAAUGCUUAGAUAUAACACAGAACACCGAUUGCGAAGGCAGCUUACUAAACUAUUACUGACGCUGAGGCACGAAAGCGUGGGGAGCGAACAGGAUUAGAUACCCUGGUAGUCCACGCCGUAAACUAUGAUUACUCGUUGUGCGCAAUACACCGUGCGCGACUAAGCGAAAGCAUUAAGUAAUCCACCUGGGGAGUACGAUCGCAAGAUUGAAACUCAAAGGAAUUGACGGGGGCCCGCACAAGCGGAGGAACAUGUGGUUUAAUUCGAUGAUACGCGAGGAACCUUACCUGGGCUGAAAUGUAGAACGACAGAUCGGGAAACUGAUCUUUCUUCGGACGGACUACAAGGUGCUGCAUGGUUGUCGUCAGCUCGUGCCGUGAGGUGUCGGGUUAAGUCCCAUAACGAACGCAACCCCUAUCGUUAGUUGCUAGCAGGCAAUGCUGAGGACUCUAGCGAAACUGCCACCGUAAGGUGUGAGGAAGGUGGGGAUGACGUCAAAUCAGCACGGCCCUUAUGUCCAGGGCUACACACGUGUUACAAUGGUCGGUACAAGGGCAGCUACCUGGUGACAGGAUGCUAAUCUCCAAAACCGAUCCUAGUUCGGAUCGCAGUCUGCAACUCGACUGCGUGAAGUUGGAUUCGCUAGUAAUCGCGCAUCAGCCACGGCGCGGUGAAUACGUUCCCGGGCCUUGUACACACCGCCCGUCAAGCCAUGGAAGUUGGGGGUACCUAAAGUCCGUAACCGUAAGGAGCGGCCUAGGGUAAAACUGAUAACUAGGGCUAAGUCGUAACAAGGU